GUCCAGACUCCUACGGGAGGCAGCCGUGGGGAAUAUUGGGCAAUGGAGGCACCUCUGACCCAGCACCUCCUCGUGAGUGCUGCAGGUAUUCGGAUUGUCCAACUCUUUAAUUUUGGACGAAGCCCGUGACUGUACCCCCUUCAUAAGCCUCUGCUCACUACGUUCCCGCCGCCGCGGUCCUCCGUAGGAGGCCCUCGUUAUCCGGACUGACUGGGCGUAAAGGGUGCGUAGGUGGUGUGGCAAGUUAGUAGAGUAAUUCCGGGGGGCAACUUCGGAACUACUACUAAAACUGCUGGGCUUGAGUGCAGGAGGGGCAGAUGGAAUUCCUAGUGUAGCGGUGGAAUGCGUAGAUAGGAGGAGGAACACCAGUGGCGAAGGCGAUAUGCUGGACAGAAACUGACACUGAGGCUCGAAAGCGUGGGGAGCAAACAGGAUUAGAUACCCGAGUACAG
rnacentral:rRNA from 1 species